CUUUAUAUGGCUCUGGCUCAAACCAGGUAAAUAUUCCAGACUUUUCAAGGGCCCUCUCUCCCCAACACUGUUGCUCUUCCCUUGGGCCCCUAUAAUCAGUAGUGGUUUUACCCCCAGUCUGACGCCCCUGUUAACAGGGUACCAGAUUUGUCAGUAACAUUGUGUAAUGUUUUUCAGAUUCUGUUUUCCAAUCUCCACCUCAACUACUGGAGUGCUACAGGUGUAAAAACAAUGAUCCUAAAAUACCCCUGGCUAGUGACACAUGUCCCUGCAGUAUGAGUUCCAUAUCAGCCCUUAUGAGGGCUAGAAAUGAGAGACCCCCUGUGGAUGGCUUGGUAACUGCUGCACCAAACUUUGUGGACUGGACCCGAAACCCAUGACAGGCGGUCAAUGAUAAAAAUGAGUGAUUUGUGGCUAGCCCUAAUAUUUAUUCUCAGCCUUUUGGCUUUGUUUACAUAGCCCCAUGAGCUUACAGUUCACAUAUAGAAUGGUUGCUUUCAGUUAAACUGGUGUGGGCCUAUGAUUUCUAUAACGUUAAAUACCACUGCUAAAUAUUCAGAACAACAAACUAUGACGGAGCAGGCAUAGAAGCAAGCAUAGAAGCUGCUAACCUGGUUGGACUAAAUACUUCAAAUUUCGUGGGGGCGUGACAUCAUAAUUGACUGAUAAAUACGGUGGUUUCACAAAGCUCACGUCAAACAGGUUUCUUCUCACGGCAUCUUCGACAUUUGAGUUAAACAGAAACAGAAUAUGGGAAUAUUUUGAUUCGUCUUUACGGUGCGACCAGACCUUCAUAUUACCUUCUCCCACCUGCACGUCUAGACCAUCUAGAUUACCAGUCCUUCUGAAGACUUUGAUUUGAGGAAUGGACGACAGCAGCGUGCCUUUCAUUAGGAGCCAUAUCCACCACGUCGGUUCCUGGCUGAAAACAUGGCACCACUGGACAUGUAAGCAGUCUGAAGUAUUUCCAAAUGUGGAAAUGGGUCCAGACGCACAAGGAACGUUCUGUAGCCCCCAUCGGCUGUGCUCGCUAAGACGGAUGGUCGUGGUCGUCCUUGUAUGCUUGGUUUUGGUCAUCAUGGUUUUGCUGCUACUUUUGAACUACAAAUGUGUAGUAGUCUGGCGCACCUGUUCCCGUAACGACGACCCCUACGUGCCUUCGAUUUGAAAUCCAAAGCUGAGGUGUGUUCAGCUGAUGAUUUAGCCUCCGAUACCUGGCCGCAGAUUCGUCUGGUUAACUCAAGUUCAAAUAGACAUGUUUGUGAUGCUCCACUUUGUUGUUUAAUAAAGCUUUACAACACGA